rnacentral:rRNA from 1 species
UACGGAGGGGGCUAGCGUUGUUCGGAAUUACUGGGCGUAAAGCGCGCGUAGGCGGCUUUGUAAGUUAGAGGUGAAAGCCCAGGGCUCAACCCUGGAAUUGCCUUUAAGACUGCAUCGCUUGAACAUCGGAGAGGUAAGUGGAAUUCCGAGUGUAGAGAUGAAAUUCGUAGAUAUUCGGAAGAACACCAGUGGCGAAGGCGACUUACUGGACGAUUGUUGACGCUGAGGUGCGAAAGCGUGGGGAGCAAACAGG